CCUUCAUGGCCAUGCUUUUUGAAGGACUUGGAUUGAUCAGCUGUCAACAAGGAAGGGUCAUGGGGACAAGUCACAAGUGGCAUCGUGAUGUGAUGUCUCUAUGGGGAAUUGAACUUAGAGCUGCAGCCUUUCUCUGGAACAUGCAUUUUACCUUCCGUGCGUAGAUUCUGUGCACUGGAUUUGAAGUCCUUAACAGUAUUUCUCCAGAAAUGACCCCAGUCUUGCAGAAGCUGACCUUGAGAAUCUGUAGAGGUGACUUGGACUUGAGUUAUCAAGGUGGUAGAGUGUGGCGGUGAAGCAUGUGGGUCAACUCCUACCUCUACUACUAACUAGGAUGGCUAACCUGGCAAGGUCCGUACUGUUUUGUACCUCCAUGUUCUCAUCUUCUUAUUGGGGAUGAUGAUGGUAAAACAUGCUUUACAGGUUUAUUGGGAAGAUUAAACAAGUUAAUAGCAGAGUGUGAAGAACACUGCCUGACAUGUGGUGUACACCAACCUGGGCUAGUUAGUGAUGCCAUCGAAGUGGCUGUGACAGUUCCAAACAGCAAUAGAACCACGUACUGGAGUUCCAGUGUCACACACUUGCCUUUUAAAAGCUGCCUAAUGUUUUCCCCGGUCAUCUUCAGAGACACUCAGAGUCAGGUCCAUGUAUACACAUUCCUUCCUUUGUGCUAUAUCAGAAAGAAAGGAGUUGGGUAUGGUUCCAAAUGAGGGGGAGAAAGCAAAGGAGAUAAAGUUUUCUGUGUAGACAAGUCAGCUCUUCUAAAUGGUCUGUCUGAUCCUAAGAAGAGCAGCUGUUCCAUCUCCACAGGACCAGCCCUUGAUCCCUCCCACCAAAGUUGAUGCGGGGGAAUCCUGGUCAUGCUUUUUGACUUUGCUUGUAGGUUCUGCUCAGCCUCACUCUCACCUGCCCCGAUGUCUCUUCACACUCCUCCUGACGGUUUCUGGAUGGCCUUUCCAAUGCUUUUUUGGGUGAAUGGUUUAAUCUAAGUAUAACAUACGUGGAGAACAAUGCAUGCAUCAUGCUGAAUUAUUACAGUCAGCACAUGAAACCCAGAUAAAGACUUUGAGCAAUACCAGCACCCAAUAUACUUCCUUUGUGUCUCCUCCGAAGCAUCACCUCCUCCAAAGGUAGCCACCAGUCUCCUUUCCCUCACAACAGACUAUUUUUUUGCCAAUUUUAUUACACUUUGGAUAAAUGGAACCACACAGUAUUUAGUCUUUUUGUUUGUUUGGGCAGUGCCUGUGGCAUGUAGAAGUUCCUGGACCAGGGAUUGAACUUGUGAUAAUGCCAGAUCCUUGAUCUGCUGAGCCACCAGGGAACUCUCAGUUUGUAGUCUUUUGGGCUUAGCUUCUUUUUUUUUUCCCCUCUCUUGUUAGGUCUGCACCCACAGCAUAUGAAAGUUCCUGGGCUAGUGGUUGAAUUGAAGCUGCAGCUGCCAGCCUGUGCUGCAGCCACAGCAAUGACAGAUCUGAGCCAUAUCUGUGACCUCCACCACAGCCUACAGCAAUGCUGGAUCCUUAACCCACUGAACGAAGCCAGGGAUCGAACCUGCAUCCUCAUGGAUACUAUGUCAGUUUCUUAACCUUCUGAGCCACAGUGGGAACCCCUGAGCUAGGCUCCUUUUGCUUAGUAUUCCUUCUAUGAGAUUCCUCUGUGUUGUGGUUUUUUUCUUUUCCAUCACUGUAGAGCUCUAUUGUAAAAAUAUAUUCAUGAAUUUUAUUUAUUCAUCCAUUCUCCCUUUAUAGAUAUCUGAGUUGUUUUCAGUUUUGGACUAUUAUGAAUAAUGGUGCCAUGAACAUGUCUUUUGGCAAAUUAUGUUGUCAUACCUAUGCAGCUAGGUACAGAAUUGAUGGGUCAAAUAUAUACUGAUGCUCAACCUCAGUGAAUAUUGCCUAACAGUUGCCUAAAUGGUUGAACACUGCCAUUUUUUAACAGAGUUUUUUGAAUGUUAAUCUGAAUGAGUUCUUCAUAUAUUUUGAAUAUUAAUCCCUUAUCAACUAUAUCAUUUGCAGAUAUCUUCUCCCAUUUAGUAGGCAGCCUUGUCAUUUUGACGGUAGUCUCUGUCACUGUGCAAAAGAUUUUUAGUUUGAUGUAGUCCCAUUCGUUUAUUUUUGCUUUUGUUGCCUUGCCUGAGGAGACAUAUCCAAAAAAUUAUCGCUAAGAGUGAGGUCUAAGACUGUUCUGCCUAUGUUUUCUUCUAAAACUUUUAUGGUUUCAGGUCUUACAUUUAAGUCUUUAAUCCAUUUGGAGGUUAUUUUUGUAUAUAGUGUGAGAAAGGGGUCCAAUUUUACCCUUUUACAUGUAGCUGUCCAAUUUUCCCAACACCGUUUAAUUGAAGAGGCCAUCUUCCCCAUUGUCCACACCAAGACACACUGUAAUUAAAAUGGUGAUCAUUAAAGAUAAAGAGAAACAAGGGAAAAAAUGCUUACGUGGAGACUAAACAACAUGCUACUAAAAAAAGGGGGGGGCAAUGAUGAAUUCAAAGAGGAAAUAAAGAAUCAUUAAAGCAGCAAGGGAAAAGCAACUUAUUAUGUACAAGGAAACUCCCAUCAGACUGUUGGCUGACUGUUCAGUAGAAAUUUUGCAGACCAUAAGGGAAUGGCAGAAUAUGGGUGGGUAAACCCAUGGUCUUAAUAGGCUAGAGGAAGAACCCAAAGUGGCAUUUGCCAGCACCAGUGUCCUUGUAGAAUGAGCUCCCCAAAAUGGCUGCUGUAAGCAUCUAGGUCCCCGUGAGGAGUCCCCCUUGCCUCCCACCUUUCUAAGAGGUUCUCCAAGAUUAGCAAGUGGGUUUAACCCAGGUUUCUUUCAAAAUACUGCUUCUGUGCUGGGUCUUGGAGUAUAUGAAAUUUUGUAUGAGCUCUUUAAGAGCAGAGGCUCUGUUUCCUACAGCCCUCAGGCUCUCCCAUGUGGAAGCCCCACUGACCUUCAAAGUCAGACGAUCUGAAGGCUCACCUUCCUGGUGCAGACCUAGGGUCUGGAAAGCCUGAUGUGGGGCUCAGACCCCUUGCUCUUUGGGAAAAAACUCUGAAAUUAUGAUUAUCCUCUCAUUUGCAGGUCACCUAUCCAAGGGUAUACCACUAAGGGUGUUAUACUGCAUCUCCACCCCUCCUACUUAUCUCGCUGUGGUUCCUUCUUUAUAUCUUUAAUUAUGGAAAAUAUUUUCUUCUAGUCUUCAGGAUUUUCUCAUCAAUAGUUGUUCUGUAAAUUGUUGUAAUUUUGGAGUGCCCAUGCGAGGAGGUGAGCUCAGUUUCUUCUUACUCCACCAUCUUGGCUAUUCCCCUGAAAUGGAACUGAUUUUUGAACAUUGUGUAUCAUGUACCUUGCUGACUUGUUUAUUUGUUGCAAUAGAUUUUUUAGUUGUUGUAUAUAUAAUAUAUAUAUAUAUUAGGAAUCCUAAACAAUCUAUAUAUGAAUAUAUAUAUGAAUAAUUAUGUCACUUGCAAAUUGAAAUAAUUUUACUUCUUUCCGAUUAGAUAUCUUCUAUUUCUUUUCUUCAUGCUGCAAGCCUUUUAUUAACUUCCAGAAAUCUGAAAAAGUUGAUUUGGAGAAAUUUUGCCAGUUUUUUUUAUUGCUUCUUUGGAGGGGCAAAUUUUUGGAAGUAUUUACUCCAGUACUUUUGCUGAUAUCACUUUAGUCUUUUAAUUGGAACUUUUGUUUUAUUUCCAUUUUAUGUAAUUAUGUCACAUGUUAUAAUUUGUUUUUAAUUUGUAAUCUGUUUUAUGUUUCUUUUUCUCUCCUUUCUUGCUUGCUUUUGUAUUAAUAAAAUAAUUUUAUUGUCCA
rnacentral:lncRNA from 1 species